AGCUGAAAGUACUGUACGAAUAAGGAUCGGCUAACUCCGUGCCAGCAGCCGCGGUAAUACGGAGGAUCCAAGCGUUAUCCGGAUUUAUUGGGUUUAAAGGGUGCGUAGGCGGAUUAGUAAGUUAGAGGUGAAAGCUCGGGGCUCAACUCCGGAACUGCCUCUGAUACUGCUGAUCUAGAGAGUAGAUGCGGUAGGCGGAAUGUAUGGUGUAGCGGUGAAAUGCUUAGAGAUCAUACAGAACACCGAUUGCGAAGGCAGCUUACCAAACUAUAUCUGACGUUGAGGCACGAAAGCGUGGGGAGCAAACAGGAUUAGAUACCCUGGUAGUCCACGCAGUAAACGAUGAUAGCUCGUUGUCGGCGAUACACAGUCGGUGACUUAGAGAAAUCGAUAAGCUAUCCACCUGGGGAGUACGUUCGCAAGAAUGAAACUCAAAGGAAUUGACGGGGGCCCGCACAAGCGGAGGAACAUGUGGUUUAAUUCGAUGAUACGCGAGGAACCUUACCCGGGCUUGAAAGUUAGUGACGGAUCUGGAAACAGGUCUUCCCUUCGGGGCACGAAACUAGGUGCUGCAUGGUUGUCGUCAGCUC
rnacentral:rRNA from 1 species